CUCCUCCCGUCCUGAGCCAAAGGCCACGGAAGUGACGUUUGCACGCCGUGCGUAACGUGCAUUCUGGCGGUGCCGGGAGCGGGGCGAGGAGGAGGGUGGGUAUGAGGCGGUAGCGGACCGCGGAGUCGAGACCUACCCGAACGACGCGGGCGAGCGGGGCUUUGGACGCCGGUGGAGACGCAGGCGAGAUGGAGCCUCGCUCUGUCGCCAAGACUGGAGUUCAGCGGCACGAUCUCGGCUCACUGCAAGCUCCACCUCCGAGGUUCACGCCAUUCUCC
rnacentral:lncRNA from 10 species